rnacentral:misc_RNA from 1 species
UACGUAGGGGGCGAGCGUUGUCCGGAAUUAUUGGGCGUAAAGAGCGUGUAGGCGGUUCGGUAAGUCUGCCGUGAAAACCCAGGGCUCAACCCUGGGCGUGCGGUGGAUACUGCCGAGCUAGAGGGUGGUAGAGGCGGGUGGAAUUCCCGGUGUAGCGGUGAAAUGCGCAGAUAUCGGGAGGAACACCAGUAGCGAAGGCGGCUCGCUGGGCCAUACCUGACGCUGAGACGCGAAAGCGUGGGGAGCAAACAGG